rnacentral:lncRNA from 1 species
UGAUUAUGAUCAAAGCUUGGGAUUUCUGGCACAUAAAUAUGUGUAAACCCUUUAUUGGACCCAACUGUAGUUGUGGGGGAUCGGAUCGUAAUCCGCCCUACCGAGUUCAGUGCCAGGUACUUCUGAACCAACUAACAGUGAGUACUGCUUUUCUUUUUAUUUUUAUUUUUCUUUUUGUAGCAAUUUUUUACAAUUCUUUGGUUUAAAUGACUUUGUGAGGGUCACCUAUACCGGAGUUGCCUUUUUGCUUUCUUUUAUUUUUUUGUUUUUCUGGAUCAUUCACUUAUUUGCAUCGGUCCCUUACGUAGAGGAUGCGUAGGCCGGAGCUGACUGCUAGGAUAAACUACUGAGGACUUAUACGGAAAUGAUGAUUAAGGCCAUGGUAUAUGGGGUUUCGGGAUUGGUUCCUAUAUUUACGAAGUCUAUGGUGCUAAAACAGAUACUGAUGUUUCGCAAAGUUCUCCCAAGUCACCGCAUCCUUACUCAAAGCAUAUCCUUAAAACCUGAAAACUUUCGAAAUAACACUAUUUUCUUUUGCAAAAAAAUUUUUGGUGGGGCUAAAGGUAUGGGGAGGUAGGAUUGUACUAAGGAUCUACUAUAU